AUAUUUUAUUAUUUUAUUUAUUUUUAUUUUUAUUUUAUUAUUUUAUUCUUAUCUUUAAGUAUUUUUUCAAUAUUAUUUUUUAAAGAAAUAUUUUAUUCUUAUUUUAAAAAUCUAUUUUUUUCUUCCUUCUCUUCUAUUUCAAAAUAGAUUUUUAUAAUAAUAAUAAAUUAUUUUUUUAAAAAAUAUUUUUUAAAAAUAAUUUUAAAAAUCUAUUUUUUAUUACA
rnacentral:lncRNA from 1 species